rnacentral:sRNA from 1 species
UACAAAUCAGAUCAAUAGCUAUGGCGUA